GACGAACGCUGGCGGCGUGCUUAACACAUGCAAGUCGUACGGUAAGGCCCUUUCGGGGGUACACGAGUGGCGAACGGGUGAGUAACACGUGAGUAACCUGCCCACAACUUUGGGAUAACGCUAGGAAACUGGUGCUAAUACUGGAUAUGUUCUCCUGCUGGAUGGUGGGGGUUGGAAAGCUCCGGCGGUUGUGGAUGGACUCGCGGCCUAUCAGCUUGUUGGUGGGGUAGUGGCCUACCAAGGCGGCGACGGGUAGCCGGCCUGAGAGGGUGACCGGCCACAUCGGGACUGAGAUACGGCCCAGACUCCUACGGGAGGCAGCAGUGGGGAAUAUUGCACAAUGGGCGCAAGCCUGAUGCAGCAACGCCGCGUGCGGGAUGACGGCCUUCGGGUUGUAAACCGCUUUCAGCAGGGACGAAGCUUUUUGUGACGGUACCUGCAGAAGAAGCACCGGCUAACUACGUG
rnacentral:rRNA from 1 species